GGAUGUGAGGGCGAUCUGGCUGCGACAUCUGUCAUCCCAUUGAUCGCCAGGGUUGAUUUGGCUGAUCUGGCUGGCUAGGCGGGUGUCCUCUUCCUCUCUCACCGCUCCAUGUGCAUCCCUCCCGAAGCUACACGCUCGAUGAAGAGACGACCAUCCCCGAUAGAGGUGGACCAUUCUUCCGUCAAGGGUAUACGAGUAGUGCACUCCCCUGCUAGACCUCCAACAAGUUCUCACGUUCCCAUCUCUGUCUGGUCAACUAAGACAGUAUAGGACUAGCAGUUGCCGUAUGGCUAUGUCACU
rnacentral:snRNA from 1 species